rnacentral:rRNA from 1 species
GAUGAACGCUGGCGGCGUGCCUAACACAUGCAAGUCGAGCGAACAGACGAGGAGCUUGCUCCUCUGACGUUAGCGGCGGACGGGUGAGUAACACGUGGAUAACCUACCUAUAAGACUGGGAUAACUUCGGGAAACCGGCGCUAAUACCGGAUAACAUGUUGAACCGCAUGGUUUAACAGUGAAAGACGGUCUUGCUGUCACUUAUAGAUGGAUCCGCGCCGCAUUAGCUAGUUGGUAAGGUAACGGCUUACCAAGGCAAGGAUGCGUAGCCGACCUGAGAGGGUGAUCGGCCACACUGGAACUGAGACACGGUCCAGACUCCUACGGGAGGCAGCAGUAGGGAAUCUUCCGCAAUGGGCGAAAGCCUGACAGAGCAACGCCGCGUGAGUGAAGAAGGUCUUCGGAUCGUAAAGCUCUGUUAUUAGGAAAGAACAAAUGUGUAAGUAACUAUGCACGUCUUGACGGUACCUAAUCAGAAAGCCACGGCUAACUACGUG